rnacentral:rRNA from 1 species
AACGAACGCUGGCGGCAUGCCUAACACAUGCAAGUCGAACGAGACCUUCGGGUCUAGUGGCGCACGGGUGCGUAACGCGUGGGAACCUGCCCUUAGGUUCGGAAUAACUCCCCGAAAGGGGUGCUAAUACCUGAUAAUGUCUUCGGACCAAAGAUUUAUCGCCUUUGGAUGGGCCCGCGUUGGAUUAGCUAGUUGGUAGGGUAAAAGCCUACCAAGGCGACGAUCCAUAGCUGGUCUGAGAGGAUGAUCAGCCACACUGGGACUGAGACACGGCCCAGACUCCUACGGGAGGCAGCAGUGGGGAAUAUUGGACAAUGGGCGAAAGCCUGAUCCAGCAAUGCCGCGUGAGUGAUGAGGGCCUUAGGGUUGUAAAGCUCUUUUACCCGGGAUGAUAAUGACAGUACCGGGAGAAUAAGCUCCGGCUAACUCCGUG